UUCCCCUCUCCAACUGAUGUGGGAUCUCAUCGUUCCCCUCUACAAUUGAUGUGAGAUCUCAUGGUUUGUAUGAUUCAUGCAAAGGAGAUCUUCACUUCAAUAUUUGGAGUACCAAGCUUCACGAGGAAGGAGAAGAAGAGAGAAAGGAACUUCAAGGCAACAUGAAAACACCAAAUCUGAAAGCUCUAAUUUAGGUGCUAUUUAAUGUUUGAUCCAUAUAGAUUGUUUAC